UGGGAAUUAGAUGAUCUGUAAGUUCAUUUGCAACACAAAUCAUUCUGUUACUAUAUGAUUCCAUAAUGUUCUAGGAAAAGCUGGUGAAACAUUCUUCUGGGAAAGUUUUGAGGUGUCUGAGGAGAGGACAACAUCCUCGGGAUGGGCCAGAUUGAACAACUUGAGUUUUUAUGUGUGUGCUCAGUAGGGAAGUUUAAUCUGCACAGGCAGCAUGUUGCUGCUUCCAGUCCUUCUUGCAACUUCAUUUUGGUCCCGUGGAGACAUGCAGUCAGUGCCAGUGCAAACCCCAGAGGUGUUCCAUCAGAUGAAGGGCAGAUCUGCCAGCAUGUCAUGCCGACUGAAGCAAACAGACAUUGUGCACUGGUACAAGCAGCUUUCUGGAGAGCCACCGAAGAGGAUCCUCUACUUGUCAGGACAUGCACCUGCUUUUGAUGACAGCAAUGAUAGAAAUAGAUUUGAAGCUCGAAAGGAUCCUGCUGAGCCUUUAUAUGAUCUCACGAUACACUCUUUAACCCCAAGGGAUUCUGGCACUUAUUACUGUGCAUACAUGUACAGCUCCCCACAGCAUUGGUCGAUCAAAGAUGAGCCAUGCAAAAAGGUACUUUGUGCUUUGAACCACAAGCUCUGCACUCUGCAGCAAGAGAGGAAAAACAGCAUCUUGUGGCAACUAUUAAAUAUAUAA